rnacentral:tRNA from 1 species
GCCCUUAUAGCUCAGUGGUAGAGCAUCUCCUUGGUAAGGAGAAGGUCACGAGUUCAAUUCUCGUUAAGGGCU